rnacentral:rRNA from 1 species
UAGCUAGUUGGUGAGGUAACGGCUUACCAAGGCGACGAUCUGUAGCGGGUCUGAGAGGAUGAUCCGCCACACUGGAACUGAGACACGGUCCAGACUCCUACGGGAGGCAGCAGUGGGGAAUUUUGGACAAUGGGGGCAACCCUGAUCCAGCCAUGCCGCGUGAGUGAAGAAGGCCUUCGGGUUGUAAAGCUCUUUCGGCCGGGAAGAAAUCGCAUGGGCCAAUACCCUGUGUGGAUGACGGUACCGGAAUAAGAAGCACCGGCUAACUACGUGCCAGCAGCCGCGGUAAUACGUAGGGUGCGAGCGUUAAUCGGAAUUACUGGGCGUAAAGCGUGCGCAGGCGGUUUUGUAAGACAGGCGUGAAAUCCCCGGGCUCAACCUGGGAACUGCGUUUGUGACUGCAAGGCUAGAGUACGGCAGAGGGGGGUGGAAUUCCACGUGUAGCAGUGAAAUGCGUAGAGAUGUGGAGGAACACCAAUGGCGAAGGCAGCCCCCUGGGUCGAUACUGACGCUCAUGCACGAAAGCGUGGGUAGCAAACAGGAUUAGAUACCCUGGUAGUCCACGCCCUAAACUAUGUCAACUAGGUGUUGGGUGGGUAAAACCAUUUAGUACCGUAGCUAACGCGUGAAGUUGACCGCCUGGGGAGUACGGCCGCAAGGUUAAAACUCAAAGGAAUUGACGGGGACCCGCACAAGCGGUGGAUGAUGUGGAUUAAUUCGAUGCAACGCGAAAAAACCUUACCUACCCUUGACAUGCCAGGAACUUGCCAGAGAUGGCUUGGUGCCCGAAAGGGAGCCUGGACACAGGUGCUGCAUGGCUGUCGUCAGCUCGUGUCGUGAGAUGUUGGGUUAAGUCCCGCAACGAGCGCAACCCUCGUCGUUAAUUGCCAUCAUUUAGUUGGGCACUUUAGCGAGACUGCCGGUGACAAACCGGAGGAAGGUGGGGAUGACGUCAAGUCCUCAUGGCCCUUAUGGGUAGGGCUUCACACGUCAUACAAUGGUCGGUACAAAGGGUCGCCAAGCCGCGAGGUGGAGCCAAUCCCAGAAAGCCGAUCGUAGUCCGGAUUGCAGGCUGCAACUCGCCUGCAUGAAGUCGGAAUCGCUAGUAAUCGUGGAUCAGCAUGUCACGGUGAAUACGUUCCCGGGUCUUGUACACACCGCCCGUCACACCAUGGGAGCGGGUUCCGCCAGAAGUAGGUAGCCUAACCGCAAGGAGGGCGCUUACCACGGCGGGGUUCGUGACUGGGGUGAAGUCGUAACAAGGUAGCCGUAGGGAACCUGCGGCUG